rnacentral:rRNA from 1 species
UCCUGGCUCAGAUUGAACGCUGGCGGCAGGCCUAACACAUGCAAGUCGAGCGGAUGAAGGGAGCUUGCUCCUGGAUUCAGCGGCGGACGGGUGAGUAAUGCCUAGGAAUCUGCCUGGUAGUGGGGGAUAACGUCCGGAAACGGGCGCUAAUACCGCAUACGUCCUGAGGGAGAAAGUGGGGGAUCUUCGGACCUCACGCUAUCAGAUGAGCCUAGGUCGGAUUAGCUAGUUGGUGGGGUAAAGGCCUACCAAGGCGACGAUCCGUAACUGGUCUGAGAGGAUGAUCAGUCACACUGGAACUGAGACACGGUCCAGACUCCUACGGGAGGCAGCAGUGGGGAAUAUUGGACAAUGGGCGAAAGCCUGAUCCAGCCAUGCCGCGUGUGUGAAGAAGGUCUUCGGAUUGUAAAGCACUUUAAGUUGGGAGGAAGGGCAGUAAGUUAAUACCUUGCUGUUUGACGUACCAACAGA